rnacentral:rRNA from 1 species
UUUAUGGAGAGUUUGAUCCUGGCUCAGGAUGAACGCUGGCGGCGUGCCUAAUACAUGCAAGUCGAGCGAACGGAUGAGAAGCUUGCUUCUCUGAUGUUAGCGGCGGACGGGUGAGUAACACGUGGAUAACCUACCUAUAAGACUGGGAUAACUUCGGGAAACCGGAGCUAAUACCGGAUAAUAUUUUGAACCGCAUGGUUCAAAAGUGAAAGACGGUCUUGCUGUCACUUAUAGAUGGAUCCGCGCUGCAUUAGCUAGUUGGUAAGGU